rnacentral:rRNA from 1 species
UAGCGGCGAGCGAAGCGGGAAGAGCUCAAAUUUAUAAUCUGGCACCUUCGGUGUCCGAGUUGUAAUCUCUAGAAAUGUUUUCCGCGUUGGACCGCACACAAGUCUGUUGGAAUACAGCGGCAUAGUGGUGAGACCCCCGUAUAUGGUGCGGACGCCCAGCGCUUUGUGAUACAUUUUCGAAGAGUCGAGUUGUUUGGGAAUGCAGCUCAAAUUGGGUGGUAAAUUCCAUCUAAAGCUAAAUAUUGGCGAGAGACCGAUAGCGAACAAGUACCGUGAGGGAAAGAUGAAAAGCACUUUGGAAAGAGAGUUAACAGUACGUGAAAUUGUUGGAAGGGAAACGCUUGAAGUCAGACUUGCUUGCCGAGCAAUCGGUUUGCAGGCCAGCAUCAGUUUUCCGGGAUGGAUAAUGGUAGAGAGAAGGUAGCAGUUUCGGCUGUGUUAUAGCUCUCUGCUGGAUACAUCUUGGGGGACUGAGGAACGCAGUGUGCCUUUGGCGGGGGUUUCGACCUCUUCACACUUAGGAUGCUGGUGGAAUGGCUUUAAACGGUCCGUCUUGAAAAACACGGAAACCUU